rnacentral:misc_RNA from 1 species
GAUGAAGAACGCAGCGAAAUGCGAUACGUAAUGUGAAUUGCAGAAUUCAGUGAAUCAUCGAGUCUUUGAACGCACAUUGCGCCCCCUGGUAUUCCGGGGGGCAUGCCUGUCCGAGCGUCAUUGUUGCCCUCAAGCACGGCUUGUGUGUUGGGCCUCCGUCCUCCUCCCGGGGGACGGGCCCGAAAGGCAGCGGCGGCACCGCGUCCGGUCCUCGAGCGUAUGGGGCUUCGUCACCCGCUCUUGUAGGCCCGGCCGGCGCUUGCCGACACAUCAAUCUUUUUUCCAGGUUGACCUCGGAUCAGGUAGGGAUACCCGCUGAACUUAAGCAUAUCAAUAGCGGAGGA